rnacentral:rRNA from 1 species
AUGGCGAACAACGGGUUCAUCGCUGAGAAGGACCCGCUACAUUGGGGCGCUGCGGCGGCCGAGCUCACCGGCAGCCACCUCGACGAGGUCAAGCGCAUGGUGGCACACUUCCGCGAGCCUGUCGUCAGGAUCGUGGGCGCCGGCCUCAGCGUCGGCCAGGUGGCUGCCGUCGCCCUGGCAAAGGAUGGUUCGAACGUCACCGUGGAGCUCGCCCACGAGGCGCGCCCCCGCGUCAAGGCCUGCAGCGAGUGGAUCCUGGAUUCCGUGGCCAACGGCGGCGACAUCUACGGCGUCACCACAGGCUUCGGCGGCACCUCCCACCGUCGCACCAAGGAUGGGCAAGGCCUCCAAGUUGAGCUCGUCAGGCAUCUCAUUGCUGGUGUAUUUGGCAUUGGAAGCAAACACGAGCUGCCAUCAGAGGUUACACGCGCAUCCAUGCUCGUUCGCAUCAACACCCUCCUCCAAGGCUAUUCUGGCAUACGUUUUGAGAUUCUUGAAGCCAUCACAAAGCUCAUCAACAAAGGAGUACACCCGAGGAUUCCCCUCCGGGGCAGCAUCACCGCGAGCGGCGACGUUGUCCCGCUUGCUUACAUCGCCGGUGUCCUUACCGGACGCCCCAACGCCCAGGCAGUUACCAAUGACGGUAGGAUGGUGGACGCCGCCGAGGCAUUGAAGAUCGCCGGGAUAGAUGGUGGCUUCUUCAAGCUGAACCCCAAGGAGGGGCUUGCAAUUGUAAAUGGCACGGCGGUGGGUUCUGCCCUCGCAGCCAUGGUGUUGUUUGACUGCAACGUCCUGGCUGUCCUAUCUGAAAUUUUGGCCGCGAUGUUUUGUGAGGUAAUGUACGGCAAACUGGAGUACACCGACCACCUGAUCCACAAGCUGAAACAUCACCCUGGCUCGAUCGAGGCAGCGGCUAUCAUGGAGCACAUUCUGGCUGGUAGCUCGUUCAUGGUCCAUGCCAAGAUGGUGAAUGCUAUGGACCCACUCCUCAAGCCAAAGCAGGACAGGUAUGCACUCCGUACUGCGCCUCAGUGGCUUGGCCCGCAGAUUGAGGUCAUCCGGGCAGCUACCAAGUCUAUCGAGCGUGAGGUGAACUCUGUCAAUGACAACCCGGUCAUCGACGUCAAACGUGGCAAAGCACUCCAUUGUGGUAAUUUCCAGGGAACACCCAUUGGUGUGUCCAUGGACAACACCCGUCUUGCCAUUGCUAACAUUGGGAAACUCAUGUUUGCGCAGUUCUCAGAGCUCGUGAAUGAGUUCUACAACAAUGGGCUGACGUCGAACCUGGCCGGCAGUCGCAACCCGAGCUUGGACUAUGGCCUCAAAGGCAUCGAGAUUGCCAUGGCUUCCUACUGCUCCGAGCUCCAAUACCUUGCCAACCCAGUGACCACCCAUGUCCAAAGUGCGGAGCAACACAAUCAGGGGGUGAACUCGCUCGGCCUUAUCUCAGCCAGGAAGACUGCAGAAGCGGUGGACAUGUUGAAACUCAUGUCCUCCACGUACAUUGUGGCGCUUUGCCAGGCAAUCGACCUCCGCCACCUUGAGAGGAACAUCAAGAUCAACGUCAACAGAUGUGUGGAAGAAGUUGCCAAGAAGGUGCUCAACGCCCCCAGCAUCGAGGAGAUUCUCAUGGCUGCCACCGACCGCGUGGACGUGUUCAGCUACGCCGAUGACCCCUGUAGCCCCAACUACCCCCUGAUGCACAAGCUACGCAGCGUGCUCCUCGAGCAUGCUCUCGCCAGUAGGAGCAAUGACGACGAGGUUUUGUCCAAGAUCAGUAAGCUGGAGGAGGAGCUCGGGUUGGCGCUGCCACGGGAGGUCGAGGCGGCACGCGUCGCCGUGGAGAAGGGCACUGCACCCAUCCCCAACAUGAUCAAGGGGAGCAGGUCAUUCCCGCUCUACCAGUUUGUUCGCGAGGAACUCGGUUGUUUGUUCCUGACCGGGGAGAAGCUUCUCGCGCCCGGCGAAGAGUGUGACAAAGUGUUCGUGGGGAUCAGCCAGGGCAAGCUCAUCGACCCCAUGCUCGAGUGCCUCAAGGAGUGGAACGGUGAGCCUCUGCCCAUUGACUAA